CAGAUUGAACGCUGGCGGCGUGCCUAACACAUGCAAGUCGAGCGAUGAAGGGAGCUUGCUCCCGGAUUAGCGGCGCACGGGUGAGUAACGCGUGGAUAAUCUACCCACGASAUCGGGAUACCAGCUGGAAACGGCUGACAAUACCGGGUAAUAUGCAAUUUAACUAUUGUGUCAAAGGCGGGGCAACCUGUCGCUUGUGGAUGAGUCCGCGUCUCAUUAGCUAGUUGGUAAGGUAAUGGCUUACCAAGGCAGUGAUGAGUAGCCGGCCUGAGAGGGUAAUCGGCCACACUGGGACUGAAACACGGCCCAGACUCCUACGGGAGGCAGCAGUGGGGAAUAUUGCGCAAUGGACGAAAGCCUGACGCAG
rnacentral:rRNA from 1 species